UAAAGGAGACGACAUCGUUCACGCUAAGAAAAUUAUCCCACGCAGUCGUCAACCUACGCCCUCCAUCCUGCUGCACUCCAUCCUCCUGCAUUCUGUACUUUUCAGCGCCUCUGUGCAGUAUCCGUAGCAAGUUUGAGAAAGGGGAGCAUGCAGGAACGGCGAGGAGAGAUGAGUGCCAGAGUGAAAGUCGUGCCACCAUUGAGCACGUGCCCGUCUGCGUCUGACUCAGGAGAUCCACCGCUACCAGUGGAUUAUUCGUCAAGGAGGCACAGUGAGCUUUGAGCCAAGCAGCGCCCAGUCCACUGACGUCAAUAGUUGGGGAGCAUGCACCCACGACGGGGAGGAGUGGGCGGCCCCAUGCCGGCGCCUUUCUGAUGAACCUUGCCAUGGACCUAGAUGCGACGGUCGGUGCUUGGCGGGCGUGACGCAUUGAUCGUUCCGCUGGUGAGGUGCGGCGCGAGGAGCCUCCGCCGCCUUGCCUGAGGAACACUGUUCAUCAGGGUAAUUGUUUUCUGAUUUGUCUCAGUCUCGCUUUCCAUAUUAUCAAAGACUGUGACGACACUUGUU